GCAAGUCGAACGAGGUCCUUCGGAGCCUAGUGGCGCACGGCUGCGUAACGCGUGGGAAUCUGCCCGUUGGUACGGGACAACAGCGGGAAACUGAUGCUAAUAACGUAUGAUGAAGUAAGUCUAAAGAUUUCUCGCCAGAAGAUGAGCCUGCGUCGGAUUAGCUAGUUGGUGGGGUAAAGGCCUACCAAGGCUACGAUCCUUAGCUGGUCUGAGAGGAUGAUC
rnacentral:rRNA from 1 species